AAUCACACAAGAACACAAUUAUCACAAAGAUAAUCAACCAGAACUCUCACACAGAGAAGAAGGAAGAGUCACAAAGACUAAGAACACGAAGGUUCCAGAAGGCAGAGAGAAAAAUCAGAGAACAGAAUGACGAUCCAGCUGCCAAACGGGAGCUAAGGAUAUUAUUUAUAGAUAAUAUCAUCAACCGUUGAUCAGCGGGUCAAUCCAACGGUCCAAGAGCGACUAAGAUGUGUGGGCUGGGUAUUGGGCUCGGUUAAGUGGGCCUUCUAAGAUGUGUGGGCUGGGUAUUGAUCCUUUUAUCACUUUCAAGAAGCCAUCUCCUAUUUUUCAUUGCAAUCCCAUAUCAUCUAGAUUUCCCAUGGAAAUCAGAUUCCUAUUCAAUUCAGGAACAUAUCUCACCCUUUCAAGAGUGUAAAUGUAUCCAUUAUCAAAUUUCAAAGUAACAUUCCCAAUUCUCUCAACUCUGCAGGCUACAUUAUUGCCCAUAACUACUUCUCCUCUAUCAAUUUUCUUAAAAUUGUCUAAAUAUGCCCUUUUAAAGGUCAUAUGGAAGGUACAACCAGAAUCCAAGAUCCAUUCUUGGUUCUGAUUCUCAUCAACAACAUUUGCAAAGCUAGGUAAAUUUUCAGUCACAGCAUAUACAUCAACUGUGGCAGAACCUUCAGAUUCUACCACAUUACCUUCAUCAACACCCUUUUGUUUCUAUUCAUUUUUCUUCUUAUAACAGUCUUUAAUAAAAUGUCCAGAUUUCCCACACCCAUAACACUUUUUAGUCCUAGUCCUUGACUUAGACCUGCCUCUACUUUUAAACUUUCUCCUACUGUUAUUUCCCUGAUUAUUAUGGCUUUCCUGAGUACCACUAGACCUACUUAAAGUCCUCCCUCUAGCAAACAAGUUUUCAUGGCCACUAUUACCUCUCUAAGACUUAAGUUCAAGUUCCUUACUCCUUAAAGAGUCUAUGACAAUAUCAGGUGUAAGAGUAUCUCUACCAUACUUAAUGGCGGCUUUAACCUCUUUGUAGGCAUCAGGAAUAACAUUAAGUAGUACUACAGCCUUAUACUCAUCAGAAACUUUCUCACCUGUAUUAAAAUGUCUAGGCUGUCUUUUAAGUCUCUAGUUGGAUCUAUCCUAAAACUAAAAAAUUUCUCUAAUAGAAACAACUUAUUAGGCAAAGACUUAGGUAGGUAAAGCUUCUCUAAUUCAUCCCAUAAGGCCUUAGCAGUAUCAUGUUUGCCCACUUUUCUUAAAACUUGAUCAGAUAAAUGCAAAAUAAUGGAGGUAUAAGCAAGUUCAUCAGAUUCUUCCUUUUGAUCAUCUGUCAUGGUAUCGGGAAAUUCAUCUGUUAUUACUUUAGAAACUUUUUGCUGAACUAAAACACCUCGCAUUUUUUGUUGCCAAAUGGGAAAAUCCCAUUUUCCAUCAAAAACACCAAGUUGAAAAGAUUUUGUCAUGUUUUAUUGUGAAAAACUAAUACACAGCAUUUUUCACAAAUUAUAACAGAACAGAAGAUCAACUUUUGAAAAAACUAUUGAAUUUGACCUUCGCAACAAAAUUUAUGUUUUAGAUCACAUAAAGUAAUAUGCAGUCAAAUAAAUGAGCCACAAUUAUUUUAUUCACAACUAGUUUCAAUCAAUAGCAGGAUCAUUAUAUAUUCUAAUUUAAACACCACAAGAACCAGAAAAAUACAACAAUGCAGGCAAGAACUAUAUCUCAGGAUUAAAGAAUCAAUAUCUGCAGGACCUAGGGUUGAUCAAAUUCACCAGGAUUCCGUGAGAAUCAAGUUCUCAGGUCAAGGCUCAAUUUGAAUCAACCAAACUUAAUUGAUCACAGGCAAACAUAACAAGAUAUCACAAACUAAUGUAACAGGUUACAAUAUACAGUAAUUGAACAUAUCAACAUAGAGGCAUAUAUACAUAAAAGCAGUGUUUAGUGAGUGUGCAGUCAUGUAGGGUUCAAGAAGUGCAAGCCGAGGGUGGUUAAGCAAUUAACCACCAGCUGAAAUCAAGAACAAAUUAUUGCAGCAAGGAUGAAUUCACUGCAGGUCACCAAGGCACAAAUCGUGCCCUUACAGAUUCAAGUUCUUCCAGUUUCGAGGCCUUGUAGCUCCAAAAAAUUAGGGUUCCAGCACAAAACGAACCCACAGGAUCUCGGUUUUAUGGUUCUUUUAUAGAUCACAGCGAGGACUCAGGUUCGAAUCAACUCCAUAGACCACUAGGUCGACUCAAAUAAAAAAACUAGGGUUUCGCGAUUUACAGUCGAACACCUGGAAAUUAAUUUUUCAGUGUUCAACCUUCAAUCGAAGACUCAAGAACGAACGCAGAAAGCUCUGAUACCACUAUUAAAAACAGGAUCCGAAAACAUUCAACCUAACCAUGAAAAUGCAGAUUACAAUAUAAAUCCUAAACCACUACAUCAAGGUUUAGAUCUUUCAAUUGUAGGCUCAGACCACGCCCCUUUCACCAUCACAGAGGCACCAAGACUCAAACACGAACUCUCACAACCCCAACACAUCAAGGUCGCUUCACUGGAAAUCAGAAAGGACUGCCUACCUUCAACAGAUUACUCACACGAAGGAGAAUCACACAAGAACACAAUUAUCACAAAGAUAAUCAACCAGAACUCUCACAUAGAGAAGAAGGAAGAGUCACAAAGACUAAGAACACGAAGGUUCCAGAAGGCAGAGAGAAAAAUCAGAGAACAGAAUGACGAUCCAGCUGCCAAACAGGAGCUAAGGAUAUUAUUUAUAGAUAAUAUCAUCAACCGUUGAUCAGCGGGUCAAUCCAACGGUCCAAGAGCGACUAAGAUGUGUGGGCUGGGUAUUGGGCUCGGUUAAGUGGGCCUUCUAGGUAUCUAAUUAAUGGACCAAGUAUUGAAUCCAUAUUUGGGCCUUUUCAUCAUUGCCUAAUAGUUG
rnacentral:lncRNA from 1 species